rnacentral:rRNA from 1 species
GACGAACGCUGGCGGCAUGCCUAACACAUGCAAGUCUAGGGGUAGCAAUACCACUGGCGCACGGGUGAGUAACACGUAGGUUAUCUGCCCCCAUCACAGACAUAACCCCGGGAAACCGGGGCUAAUAUCUGAUGAGGUCGCGAGAUCAAAGCUUCGGCGGAUGGGGAUGAGCCUGCGGCUGAUUAGCUAGUUGGUGAGGUAAUGGCUCACCAAGGCGACGAUCAAUAGCUGGUCUGAGAGGACGAACAGCCACACUGGAACUGAGACACGAUCCAGACUCCUACGGGAGGCAGCAGUGAGGAAUAUUGGUCAAUGGGAGCAAUCCUGAACCAGCAAUGCCGCGUGUGGGAUGACAGGGCUUCGCCUUGUAAACCACUGUCGGACGGGACGAAAGGAGGCCUCGGGCCUCUGGGACGGUACCGUCAAAGGAAGGGUCGGCUAACUACGUGCCGGCAGCCGCGGUAAU